rnacentral:rRNA from 1 species
UAGGACUCUCGAUAAUGGAUAUCUUGGCUCUCGCAUCGAUGAAGAGCGCAGUGAAAUGUGAUAUGUGGUGUGAUUUGCAGAAUCCCGUGAACCAUUGAGUAUUUGAACGCAUGUUGCGCCUUAGGCUAGCUGGCUAUAGGCACGUCCACUUGGGUGUCAAGC